GUUCUGCUGGUCGGCUUGUUAGUUCUGGAUCAGAGGAAGAGGAAUGUUUGUUGCAUGUGAACACAGUGAAGCAGAGAAUGCUCUGUCAGACUCCCCACGGCAAAAACAUAAGAGAAGAAGAAGUCUUCAGAAUUUUUUUUAAAAAAUCUACAAAAAACAAGGCAGUCUUAAGAUUGUGUUGCUUAGAAACACGCCGGUGGGAGGAGGACAGCUGAUCUCCGCCUUGCAGCGGGAGGAAAGCUGGUGGCUCAGACGGUGCAGAUGUUGGUAAACCAUCAGUGCGGUGCUUCUGCAGCCUCUGAGUUGCAGGAUGUCUCAUCAAGUGUCCGUCUUCCUGACUGCCACUCGGUGUUUGACCUUCAGGAUGUCCAGAGACCUUCACCUUUCUGGAGCUGGGAUCACAUGAGCCCGAUGUGCUGAUGAAACAUUUCUAAUAAAAAAAAAAAAAUGUGGCUGAUGU